rnacentral:rRNA from 1 species
CAGCAGCCGCGGGAAUACGUAGGGUGCAAGCGUUAAUCGGAAUUACUGGGCGUAAAGCGUGCGCAGGCGGUUAUAUAAGACAGAUGUGAAAUCCCCGGGCUCAACCUGGGAACUGCAUUUGUGACUGUAUAGCUAGAGUACGGCAGAGGGGGAUGGAAUUCAGCGUGUAGCAGUGAAAUGCGUAGAUAUGCGGAGGAACACCGAUGGCGAAGGCAAUCCCCUGGGCCUGUACUGACGCUCAUGCACGAAAGCGUGGGGAGCAAACAGGAUUAGAUACCCCAGUAGUCCCUGUCUCUUAUAC